GUUAUGGAGAGUUUGAUCCUGGCUCAGGACGAACGCUGGCGGUGCGCCUCAUACAUGCAAGUCGAACGAAGAGGCCCCCUCGGGGGUACUUCAGUGGCGGACGGGUGAGUAACACGUAGGUAACGUGCCUUGUACUGGGGGAUAACACCGGGAAACCGGUGCUAAUACCGCAUAAGAUAUUCGGUGAGACUCCGGAUAUUUAAAGUUUUUUCGGUACAAGAUCGGCCUGCGUCUGAUUAGCUAGUUGGUAGGGUAAUGGCCUACCAAGGCGAUGAUCAGUAGUUGGUCUGAGAGGAUGACCAGCCACAGUGGGACUGAGACACGGCCCACACUCCUACGGGAGGCAGCAGUAGGGAAUCUUGCGCAAUGGGCGAAAGCCUGACGCAGCGACACCGCGUGAAGGAUGAAGUCCCUCGGGAUGUAAACUUCUGUCGGCAGGGAAGAAUUAAUGACGGUACCUGCAAAGGAAGCAUCGGCUAACUACGUGCCAGCAGCCGCGGUAAGACGUAGGAUGCAAGCGUUGUCCGGAAUUAUUGGGCGUAAAGAGUUCGUAGGCGGUUACUUAAGUCUGAUGUUAAAUACCGGAGCUCAACUCCGACACGGCACCAGAUACUGGGUAACUAGAGUGCGGUAGAGGUAACAGGAAUUCCCGGUGUAGCGGUGAAAUGCGUAGAUAUCGGGAGGAACACCAGUGGCGAAAGCGUGUUACUGGACCGCAACUGACGCUGAGGAACGAAAGCCAGGGUAGCGAAAGGGAUUAGAUACCCCUGUAGUCCUGGCCGUAAACGAUGGAUACUAGGUGUUGGUGGUAUCGACCCCUCCAGUGCCGAAGCUAACGCGAUAAGUAUCCCGCCUGGGGAGUACGGCCGCAAGGCUGAAACUCAAAGGAAUUGACGGGGGCCCGCACAAGCGGUGGAACAUGUGGUUUAAUUCGAUGCAACGCGAAGAACCUUACCUGGGCUUGACAUCUACGGAACCUUGCAGAAAUGUGAGGGUGCCUUCGGGAGCCGUAAGACAGGUGGUGCACGGUUGUCGUCAGCUCGUGUCGUGAGAUGUUGGGUUAAGUCCCGCAACGAGCGCAACCCUCGUGGUCUGUUGUUACAGGUCGGAAGAUGCUGAACCCUCAGGCCAGACUGCCGGUGACAAACCGGAGGAAGGUGGGGAUGACGUCAAAUCAUCACGCCCCUUAUGUCCAGGGCUACACACGUGUUACAAUGGGAGAAGACAACGGGCAGCUUGGCAGCAAUGUCUGGCAAAUCCCUUAAACUUCCCCUCAGUUCGGAUCGGAGUCUGCAACUCGACUCCGUGAAGUCGGAAUCGCUAGUAAACGCAGAUCAGCACGCUGCGUUGAAUACGUUCCCGGGCCUUGUACACACCGCCCGUCACACCACGAAAGAGGGUUACGCCCGAAGUCGGUGUCCCAACCUUUUAGGAGGGAGCCGCCGAAGGCAGAACUCUUGAUUGGGGUGAAGUCGUAACAAGGUAGCCGUACCGGAAGGUGCGGCUGGAUCACCUCCUUU
rnacentral:rRNA from 1 species